UAGGUCCGCACACCAUUGUCACACAGGGUGA
rnacentral:piRNA from 1 species